rnacentral:rRNA from 1 species
GAGACACGUGGGCAACCUGCCCUCCUCUUGGGGAUAGCCUCGGGAAACCGAGGAUAAUACCCGAUACUUCAAUGUGGCCGCAUGACGACAUUGAGAAAGCUUUUGCGGAGAAGGAUGGGCCCGCGGCCUGUUAGCUUGUUGGUGGGGUAGAGGCCUACCAAGGCAAUGAUGGGUAGCUGGGUUGAGAGACCGACCAGCCAGAUUGGGACUGAGACACGGCCCAG